rnacentral:rRNA from 1 species
CAGGAAAAGCCUCUAAGCUUCAGGUUACCAACAAUCGUACCCCAAACCGACACAGGUGGUCAGGUAGAGAAUACUCAGGCGCUUGAGAGAACUCGGGUGAAGGAACUAGGCAAAAUGGUGCCGUAACUUCGGGAGAAGCACGCUGGCGGUAGGUAAAGUCCCUCGCGGACGGCGCCAAGCCAGUCGAAGAUACCAGCUGGCUGCAACUGUUUAUUAAAAACACAGCACUGUGCAAACACGAAAGUGGACGUAUACGGUGUGACGCCUGCCCGGUGCUGGAAGGUUAAUUGAUGGGGUCAGCCGUAAGGCGAAGCUCCUGAUCGAAGCCCCAGUAAACGGCGGCCGUAACUAUAACGGUCCUAAGGUAGCGAAAUUCCUUGUCGGGUAAGUUCCGACCUGCACGAAUGGCGUAAUGAUGGCCAGGCUGUCUCCACCCGAGACUCAGUGAAAUUGAACUCGCUGUGAAGAUGCAGUGUACCCGCGGCAAGACGGAAAGACCCCGUGAACCUUUACUAUAGCUUGACACUGAACAUUGAGCCUUGAUGUGUAGGAUAGGUGGGAGGCUUUGAAGUGUGGACGCCAGUCUGCAUGGAGCCAACCUUGAAAUACCACCCUUUAACGUUUGAUGUUCUAACCUAGGCCCAUAAACUGGGUCGGGGACCGUGUCUGGUGGGUAGUUUGACUGGGGCGGUCUCCUCCUAAAGAGUAACGGAGGAGCACGAAGGUUGGCUAAGCAUGGUCGGACAUCAUGCGGUUAGUGCAAAGGCAUAAGCCAGCUUGACUGCGAGAGUGACGGCUCGAGCAGGUACGAAAGUAGGUCUUAGUGAUCCGGUGGUUCUGAAUGGAAGGGCCAUCGCUCAACGGAUAAAAGGUACUCCGGGGAUAACAGGCUGAUACCGCCCAAGAGUUCAUAUCGACGGCGGUGUUUGGCACCUCGAUGUCGGCUCAUCACAUCCUGGGGCUGAAGUAGGUCCCAAGGGUAUGGCUGUUCGCCAUUUAAAGUGGUACGCGAGCUGGGUUUAGAACGUCGUGAGACAGUUCGGUCCUAUCUGCCGUGGGCGUUGGAAGAUUGAGAGGGGUUGCUCCUAGUACGAGAGGACCGGAGUGAACGCACCACUGGUGUUCGGGUUGUCAUGCCAAUGGCAUUGCCCGGUAGCUAAGUGCGGAAGAGAUAACCGCUGAAAGCAUCUAAGCGGGAAACUUGCCUCGAGAUGAGUCUUCCCUGUCGCUUUAAGCGACCUAAAGGAACGUUUAAGACUAAGACGUUGAUAGGCUGGGUGUGUAAGCGUAGCGAUACGUUGAGCUAACCAGUACUAAUGAACCGUGAGGCUUAACCUG